rnacentral:misc_RNA from 1 species
GUGGGAGGGGGCUUGCCCCCGAUGGCGGUGGAUCAGUCGGUGCAUCUAUGACUGAAACACUGCCAUCGGGGGCAAGCCCCCUCCCAC